GCCGAAGUAGCUCAAUGGCAGAGCAACUGUUUUGUAAACAGUAGGUUAUCGGUUCAACUCCGAUCUUCGGCUCAA
rnacentral:tRNA from 2 species